AUUUUUACCUUGUUAGCUCAGGGAUUUGAUCUUAACCUUUCAGUUACUAGUCCAACGCUCUAACCACUAGGUUACCUGCUGCCCCAAAAGAGAACAAAAUUCUAAAAGUAUUAAAUAUAUAUUUUAACGUAGUUUUGACAACUGUGAAAUGAGGCUUGAAAUGACUUGUUUCUAAAUAGUGUAAUCAAUUUAUAAAAUGCCUAACUAUGAGAUUUCUCCUUCCUUAUAACUGUAAAAUGGGGCGCCUGAGUGGCGCAGUGGUCUAAGGCACUGCAUCUCAGUGCUAGAGGCGUCACCUAAAGACACCCUGGUUCAAAUCCAGGCUGUAUCACAACCGGCCGUGAUAGGGAGUUCUAUAGGGCGGCGCGCAAUUGGCUCAGCAUCGUCCGGAUUUGGUCGCUGUAGGCCGUCAUUGUAAAUAAGAUUUUGUUCUUAACUGACUUGCCUAGAAUAAAAUAAAUACACAUUUGUAUAUUUAGUGUUAGAAUGUAGAAAAUAUGCAAAGGUCUCUCUUGAUCAAAAUGUCUGCCCCCAACGCUGUGAACGUCUGGCUAGGAACUCUCCUUUCAUCUCAUAUUAAUCUUGUCUGUCUGACUGUUUUGUUUAAAAUCUAAAAUUUUUGAUUACUGGCUAUAAAUCGCUCAAUGUGCUACAGCAAUGAAACCAUUCUCCUGCUGUUACGAUUUCAGGCAUAGGGGUUUAGCCACUAACAUUAAACGCUAUGACGUAGGGUUCAGCCAUGAGUUGAUGGACAGUCUGAAGAGCGAAUUAAAUCAUAGGAGGGACAUCCCCGCUUCAAGUGGUCAGAUUUCACAUCCUGCUUCACACAGGCAACAGACAUACUCCUUCCUGUGUCCGUAAGAAUGCUCAAUGCUUGCCAUUUCGAUCUAUGGUGUCCACCGAUCGAUUUCAACGAAAAUGUCGGUCGGAACCCUUACAGAACCACGUAGGUCCCCUAAACAGGGGACUUUACAACGUUUGUUGCCUAAUGUUUUUAAAGUUGGGAGUCGUGCGUUUGUUUUGGGGGAGAGAGGUGUGUGUUUGAGAGGGGGAUCAGGAGGGAGGGAGAGUGUUAACUGAAGCGUAAAGAUUUCAUGCAGUGUUUUCCCCUUACUGCCACAAUGACAUUGUAAUGGUGCCGGAGGGGAUGGCUGCCGUUUUUAUGGGCUCCUAUCCAACUGUGCUAUUUUGUUUUUUCCCCCUCAUUUUUGUAACUUGUUUUGUACAUAAAGUUGCGACUGCCAUCUCUUAUGACUGAAAAUAUUUUCUGGACAUCAGAACAGCGAUUACUCACCUUGUACUGGACGAAGAUUUUUAUUUUAAUGAGUCCGACGUAAAGGAUAUACUGCUCUCCGCAGACCAGGCCCAAAUCCUCGUCAUUUGCGUGAAGAAAAGGCCACAGAGAUGCAGAGGGAGAAAAGGUUGGGGUGCCUCGUUAGGAUUCGUGAUGGCUGAAUGACAACACGGUAAUAUAGAGCUGGCUGGGAUUUCCGUGCAUCGGCAGGACCAAGCAACUACGUCUGGUAAGACGAGGGGUGGGGUUGUGUAUAUUUGUCAAUAACCCCACGGGUGCACGAGGUCUUAAUAUUAAAGAAGUCUCGAGGUAUUACUUGCCUGAGGUAGGGUACCUAAGCGGUAGAC